rnacentral:rRNA from 1 species
AGUGAACGCUGGCGGUAGGCCUAACACAUGCAAGUCGAACGGCAGCACAGUAAGAGCUUGCUCUUACGGGUGGCGAGUGGCGGACGGGUGAGGAAUACAUCGGAAUCUACUUUUUCGUGGGGGAUAACGUAGGGAAACUUACGCUAAUACCGCAUACGACCUACGGGUGAAAGCAGGGGAUCUUCGGACCUUGCGCGAUUGAAUGAGCCGAUGUCGGAGUAGCUAGUUGGCGGGGUAAAGGCCCACCAAGGCGACGAUCCGUAGCUGGUCUGAGAGGAUGGUCAGCCACACUGGAACUGAGACACGGUCCAUACUCCUACGGGACGCAGCAGUGGGGAAUAUGAGACAAUGGGGGCAAGCCUGAUCCAGCCAUACCGCGUGGGUGAAGAAGGCCUUCGGGUUGUAAAGCCCUUUUGUUGGGAAAGAAAAGCAGCAGGUUAAUACCCCGCUGUUCUGACGGUACCCAAAGAAUAAGCACCGGCUAACUUCGUG